rnacentral:rRNA from 1 species
UGGGGAAUUUUGGACAAUGGGCGAAAGCCUGAUCCAGCAAUGCCGCGUGUGUGAAGAAGGCCUUCGGGUUGUAAAGCACUUUUGUCCGGAAAGAAAUCCUUGGCUCUAAUACAGUCGGGGGAUGACGGUACCGGAAGAAUAAGCACCGGCUAACUACGUGCCAGCAGCCGCGGUAAUACGUAGGGUGCAAGCGUUAAUCGGAAUUACUGGGCGUAAAGCGUGCGCAGGCGGUUUGCUAAGACCGAUGUGAAAUCCCCGGGCUCAACCUGGGAACUGCAUUGGUGACUGGCAGGCUAGAGUAUGGCAGAGGGGGGUAGAAUUCCACGUGUAGCAGUGAAAUGCGUAGAGAUGUGGAGGAAUACCGAUGGCGAAGGCAGCCCCCUGGGCCAAUACUGACGCUCAUGCACGAAAGCGUGGGGAGCAAACAGGAUUAGAUACCCUGGUAGUCCACGCCCUAAACGAUGUCAACUAGUUGUUGGGGAUUCAUUUCCUUAGUAACGUAGCUAACGCGUGAAGUUGACCGCCUGGGGAGUACGGUCGCAAGAUUAAAACUUAAAUGAAUUGACGAGGUCAUAGCUGUUUCCU